UACGUAGGGGGCUAGCGUUGUCCGGAUUUAUUGGGCGUAAAGAGCGUGUAGGCGGCCAGGUAGGUCUGCUGUGAAAACUCGAGGCUCAACCUCGAGACGUCGGCGGAAACCAUCUGGCUAGAGUCCGGAAGAGGAGAGUGGAAUUCCUGGUGUAGCGGUGAAAUGCGCAGAUAUCAGGAAGAACACCCGUGGCGAAGGCGGCUCUCUAGUACGGUACUGACGCUGAGACGCGAAAGCGUGGGGAGCGAACAGG
rnacentral:rRNA from 1 species